rnacentral:rRNA from 1 species
AUACGAACUGUGCAAACGUUAUUCGGAAUCACUGGGCUUAAAGGGUGCGUAGGCGGACUUGAAGGUCCGAUGUGAAAUCCCACGGCUCAACCGUGGAAUUGCGUCGGAAACCACAAGUCUCGAGGGAGUCAGAGGUAAGCGGAACUGAUGGUGGAGCGGUGAAAUGCGUUGAUAUCAUCAGGAACACCGGUGGCGAAAGCGGCUUACUGGGACUUUUCUGACGCUGAGGCACGAAAGCUAGGGGAGCGAACGGGAUUAGAAACCCUAGUAGUCC